rnacentral:rRNA from 1 species
GACGAACGCUGGCGGCGGGCUUAACACAUGCAAGUCGAACGGAAAUGGCUCUUUCGGGGGGUCCUCCAAUGGCCAACGGGGUGGGAAAACGGUAGUAAACCUCCCUUAUCCUUGGGGUAACUUCUGGGAACCGGGGCUAAAUCCGCAUAAGGGCUGCUGCGGCACAUCUGGGGUUAGUAAGAUUCGGCGGUUGGGGAUGGACUCGCGUGCUAUCAGCUUGUUGGUGGGGUAGUGGCUUACCAAGGCUUUGGCGGGUAGCCGGCCUGAGAGGGUGAACGGCCACAUUGGGACUGAGAUACGGCCCAGACUCCUACGGGAGGCAGCAGUGGGGAAUAUUGGACAAUGGGUGGCAGCCUGAUGCAGCAACGCCGUGUGCGGGAUGACGGCCUUCGGGUUGUAAACCGCUUUCGCUCAUGACGAAGCUUUGUGUGACGGUAGUGGGUAAAGAAGCACCGGCUAACUACGUG